CGGGGGGGUGGGGGGGAGUCCCUCAGCCCAGAUUGUGAGAGGGUGCAGGCCAGGCUGAGUGACCCCCCACCUGCAUA
rnacentral:pre_miRNA from 1 species